rnacentral:rRNA from 1 species
UACGUAGGGUGCAAGCGUUAAUCGGAAUUACUGGGCGUAAAGCGUGCGCAGGCGGUGAUGUAAGACAGAUGUGAAAUCCCCGGGCUCAACCUGGGAACUGCAUUUGUGACUGCAUCGCUGGAGUACGGCAGAGGGGGAUGGAAUUCCACGUGUAGCAGUGAAAUGCGUAGAGAUGUGGAGGAAUACCGAUGGCGAAGGCAGCCCCCUGGGCCAAUACUGACGCUCAUGCACGAAAGCGUGGGGAGCAAACAGG